CUAAUCCUUCCUAAAGUCUGUAUCUCAGCAUUGAAUCCAUGAUCAUGAGAAGAUCCACGGCUCAUAGCCGGUAGCCUUUUAACAGCAACUUGAUCACCAUUAGGCAUAGCACCCUUGUAAACAAUCCCUGCACCUCCCUUACCAAUGAUAUUAUCCUCUUUCAAGCAAUCAAGAACAUCAUCAACAGUGAAGUCCAAGCGCUGGAACGCAGUCAAUUUCCAAGCGCGAGACUCACUAGCCUUCUUCAAUGACCUUGCUUUAAUUAUUGCCGCAACUGCAAACGCAAUUGAGCAAACAAGCAAGCCAAUAACAAGCAAGAGCUUCAGAGAAGCAGAGAGCGGCCCCUUAACAUGUGCUUGGUGGGUUCCAUUUGCAUCCCCAUCUUUGCAAGGACCCAAAUAUGGACCACAAAGAUCAGGAUUACCCAAAAACGAAGUGUAAUUAAAAUAACUAAACUGACCAGUACCAGGAACCAAACCAGUAAGAUUGUUGUAAGAAAAAUCAACAGAGGUUAAGCUCUGCAUAGUGGCUAUUGAUGAAGGAAUGCUACCAACAAAAUGAUUUCUCGACAGAUUGAGGUAGUUCAGUAUCCUCAUCCCUGUGAUCUCAGUCGGAAUCGCACCCGAAAGCUCGUUUCGACUGAGAUCAACAAAUGUUAGUAGCUUGCAUUGGCUAAUCUCAGGCGCAAUGGGUCCCGAAAACUUGUUAGAACUAAAAUCCAUCUUUGAAAGUUGUUGUAAUUUUCCAAUAUCAGAAGGGAUUGGACCAGAGAACUUGUUCCCGUCAAGAAGUAGCUUUUGAACACCUGAGAACUUGCCAAUACUUGGAGGCAACGAACCGGAGAGCCGAUUGUUUGAGAGACUAAUCUGGCCAAGGUUGAGCGCUAUUUUAUCACUCACUGGAAACUCUCCGGUGAGAAGAUUAUCUUGCAGCUCAACUUGGGUCAACUCUGGUAACCCAAAAAGCCCUUUGGGAAUCGAACCAUUGAGAAAAUUCUCCCCCAUCCGUAUCCGACUUAAAGACUUGCAUUGCCCGAGCGAUUCCGGAAUCGGCCCAAACAAGAAGUUGCUGAGUGUAAUUAAGGUCUGUAACCGAUUACCGGAACACAAAUUAGGAGGAAGAUUUCCGGUAAGUUUGUUUGAAGAGAGAUCUACAAGCACAAGAUUCCCAUUUUUACCCAACCCCAGCGGAAUACUUCCGGUGAAGUUAUUCUCCCACAACUGCAAAACCUCCAACUGCGGCAAAUCGCCGAUGAACUCCGGAAUCGCUCCGUGGAGCUUGUUUCGGAAAAGAUUCAACAGCGUCAAGUUGUUGAGCUCGGCGAACGAACUUGGAAUCUCCCCAGUAAACAUAUUGUUAGACAAAUCCAUGGAUUUCAAGCUCUUCAAAGUUCCAAGCUCCUCCGUUAACGACCCAGAAAACCCAUUCACUUGUAGGAACAGAGUAUCCAGCUUCUGCAACUUCCCUAUCUCCUUCGGCAUCUCGCCCGAUAACAUGCAAUUUGCAGCAUCAAACCGGACUAACUCAGACAAGUUCCCGAUCUCGGGCGGUAAACCGCCUUCGUAGCUAUUAUAGUAUCCAAUGUAGAGCUGCUGUAACUUGGAUAAGUUACCAAUUUCAGGCGGAAUGCUACCGACCAAUUCAUUACCAGAGAUUGCUAGAUAUUCCAGAAACUCCCAUUUUCCAUACUCAGGUGGGAUUUUCCCAGAGAAGAAGUUUCCACCAAGAUGCAAGUGACGGAGAUUGGGCAUGUCGGUGACUGGCAAGGGCAAGUCACCAGUCAUAUUGUUGUUAUACAAGUCGAGGACUUGCAGAUUUUUUAGCUGAGCGAGUUGAGGAGGGAAGGAGCCAUUGAAAACAUUGUUAGAAAGGUUAAGGGAGAGGAGGCCAGAAAUGGCGGAGAGCUGGGGUGGGAUGGGGCCAGAGAGCUGGUUGGCGGCGAGGGUGAGGUUUUGAAGGUAGCGAAGGUGGGCGAUGUCUGGGGAGAGAGUACCAGAGAGGUUAAGACUGGAGAGGUCAAGGGAAGUGACAUGACGACCAGUGAAGUCACAAGUAACACCAUGCCAAGAGCAGAGAGAGUUGGACGAGUUCCAGGAGGCAAGUGCAGAUUGGGGGUCAUCAAUGGCGGAUUUGACAGACAGAAGGGCCUGGUAUUCAGACAUGACACGGGCAAAAGAAGCACAUAUUUGGAGGUGAAGGAUGAGGAAGAGAAGAAGGAGAAGCCUCAUUUUGCUAGGUUUCUUGAAAAAAUUCAAGGGGUUUCUGGGUAUUGAAGAAAGGAGGAGGAGGAGGAGGAUAAGGAGCAAGAA
rnacentral:misc_RNA from 1 species